rnacentral:lncRNA from 1 species
CCCGGCUCCAGGGCUUGGACCAGAAUCCUUGACGCUACCGAGAGUGUCGACGGUCGCGAACCCGUGCCCCGGACCUCCCAUGCUGGGGCCGGCGCUCUUCGAUGCUCCGAGGAGCCGUAAACUGUUCAGCACAUUGCCGAUGACGAUCGCCCCGACAUCUCCGUCCUCUCGUAACGGAUUCAGCGGCCUCGCUUUCGCGCACGAAAAUACGAGGCUCGCAACC